rnacentral:lncRNA from 1 species
ACAGUUUAAAAAUGCCCUCCGUUAACCUAUUUUGAAAAAAAAUGCCCAUACCGUUAAAAUUCUGGCAUAUUUAUACCCCUAAUGUAUUGACUCCAGAUUAAAAAUGCCCCUACCGUUAACCUAUUUUUAAAAAAAUACCCCUACCAUUUUAAAUAUAAGUACAGUCAGCUGUUAGACUUAGGGGCACAAAUAUGCCAAAUUUUAAACGGUAGGG